UACGUAGGUGGCAAGCGUUGUCCGGAUUUACUGGGCGUAAAGAGCGCGCAGGCGGUCGUCCAAGUCGCGUGUGAAAGCCCCCGGCUCAACUGGGGAGGGUCACGCGAUACUGGUCGACUCGAAGGCAGGAGAGGGUAGUGGAAUUCCCGGUGUAGUGGUGAAAUGCGUAGAUAUCAGGAAGAACACCUAUGGCGAAGGCAGCUCUCUGGGACGGUACUGACGCUGAGACGCGAAAGCGUGGGGAGCGAACAGG
rnacentral:rRNA from 1 species